rnacentral:rRNA from 1 species
AGAUACUAUAGACUGAGACCGGAGAGGUAGAGGUACUCCAGGGUAGAGGUGAAAUUCUGUAAUCCUGGGAGGACCGCCUGUUGCGAAGGCGUCUAACUGGAACGGUUCUGACGGUGAGGGACGAAAGUUAGGGGCGCGAACCGGAUUAGAUACCCGGGUAGUCCUAACUGUAACGAUGCGGACUUGGUGUUGGGUGGCUUUGAGCUGCUCCAGUGCCGAAGGGAAGCUGUUAAGUCCGCCGCCUGGGAAGUACGGUCGCAAGACUGAAACUUAAGGAAUUGGCGGGGGAGCACCACAACGCGUGGAGCCUGCCGGUUUAAUUGGAUUCAACGCCGGACAUCUCACCAGAGGCGACAGCUGUAUGAUAGCCAGGUUGAUGACUUUGCUUGACUAGCUGAGAAGAGGUGCAUGG